rnacentral:rRNA from 1 species
GAUGAACGCUGGCGGCGUGCCUAAUACAUGCAAGUCGAGCGAACAGACGAGGAGCUUGCUCCUCUUACGUUAGCGGCGAACGGGUGAGUAACACGUGGAGAACCUACCUAUAAGACUGGGAUAACUUCGGGAAACCAAAGCUAAUACCGGAUAAUAUCUUUAAACGCAAGGUUCAAGAUUGAAAGAUGGUAUUGCAUCACCUUAAAAAGAUAUCCCCGCCGCAUAAGCUAGUUGGUAAGGUAACGGCUAACAAAGGCAUCGAUCCUAAGCGAACCUAGGAGGGUAACCGGCCACACUGGACUUGGGAACCGGUCAAACCUCCUCCGGAGGCAGCCAGUAGGGAUUCUUCGGCAUUGGGCGAAGGCCUGCCGGGGCACCGCGGGGUAGGUGAUGAAGUUCUUCGGAUCGUAAAACUCUGUUAUUAGGGAGGACCAAAUGUGUAAGUAACUAUGCACGUCUUGACGGUACCUACUCAGAAAGCCACGGCUAACUACGUG